UACGUAGGGUGCGAGCGUUGUCCGGAAUUAUUGGGCGUAAAGAGCUUGUAGGUGGUUUGUCGCGUCUGCUGUGAAAAUCCGAGGCUCAACCUCGGACUUGCAGUGGGUACGGGCAGACUAGAGUGUGGUAGGGGAGACUGGAAUUCCUGGUGUAGCGGUGGAAUGCGCAGAUAUCAGGAGGAACACCCAUGGCGAAGGCAGAUCUCUGGGCCGUAACUGACGCUGAGGAGCGAAAGCGUGGGGAGCGAACAGG
rnacentral:rRNA from 1 species